rnacentral:tRNA from 1 species
UUGAAAGAAACCAAAAAGAGGUAUCUUAUUGUUAAUAAGAUAAUUGAAUUAAAUAAUUCCUUUUAAA